ensembl:snRNA U6 U6 spliceosomal RNA
GUGCUUGCUUUGGCAGCACAUAUACUAAAAUUGGAAUUAUACAGAGAAGACUAGCAUGGCCCCUGAGCAAGGAUGACAUGCAAAGUUGUGAAGGAUAUUUCUUU